UUAAGCGACUAAGCGUACACGGUGGAUGCCCUGGCAGUCAGAGGCGAUGAAGGACGUGCUAAUCUGCGAAAAGCGUCGGUAAGGUGAUAUGAACCGUUAUAACCGGCGAUGUCCGAAUGGGGAAACCCAGUGCAAUUCGUUGCACUAUCGUUAACUGAAUACAUAGGUUAACGAGGCGAACCGGGGGAACUGAAACAUCUAAGUACCCCGAGGAAAAGAAAUCAACCGAGAUUCCCCCAGUAGCGGCGAGCGAACGGGGAGCAGCCCAGAGUCUGAAUCAGCUUGUGUGUUAGUGGAACGGUCUGGAAAGUCCGACGGUACAGGGUGAUAGUCCCGUACACCAAAAUGCACAGGUUGUGAACUCGAAGAGUAGGGCGGGACACGUGGUAUCCUGUCUGAAUAUGGGGGGACCAUCCUCCAAGGCUAAAUACUCCUGACUGACCGAUAGUGAACCAGUACCGUGAGGGAAAGGCGAAAAGAACCCCGGCGAGGGAGUGAAAAGAACCUGAAACCGUGUACGUACAAGCAGUGGGAGCACCUUCGGGUGUGACUGCGUACCUUUGUAUAAUGGGUCAGCGACUUAUAUUCUGUAGCAAGGUUAACCGUAUAGGGGAGCCGCAGGGAAACCGAGUCUUAACUGGGCGUUAAGUUGCAGGGUAUAGACCCGAAACCCGGUGAUUCAGCCAUGGGCAGGUUGAAGGUUGGGUAACACUAACUGGAGGACCGAACCGACUAAUGUUGAAAAAUUAGCGGAUGACUUGUGGCUGGGGGUGAAAGGCCAAUCAAACCGGGAGAUAGCUGGUUCUCCCCGAAAGCUAUUUAGGUAGCGCCUCGUGAACUCAUCUUCGGGGGUAGAGCACUGUUUCGGCUAGGGGGUCAUCCCGACUUACCAACCCGAUGCAAACUACGAAUACCGAAGAAUGUUAUCACGGGAGACACACGGCGGGUGCUAACGUCCGUCGUGAAGAGGGAAACAACCCAGACCGCCAGCUAAGGUCCCAAAGUCAUGGUUAAGUGGGAAACGAUGUGGGAAGGCACAGACAGCCAGGAUGUUGGCUUAGAAGCAGCCAUCAUUUAAAGAAAGCGUAAUAGCUCACUGGUCGAGUCGGCCUGCGCGGAAGAUGUAACGGGGCUAAACCAUGCACCGAAGCUGCGGCAGCGACACUAUGUGUUGUUGGGUAGGGGAGCGUUCUGUAAGCCUGCGAAGGUGUGCUGUGAGGCAUGCUGGAGGUAUCAGAAGUGCGAAUGCUGACAUAAGUAACGAUAAAGCGGGUGAAAAGCCCGCUCGCCGGAAGACCAAGGGUUCCUGUCCAACGUUAAUCGGGGCAGGGUGAGUCGACCCCUAAGGCGAGGCCGAAAGGCGUAGUCGAUGGGAAACAGGUUAAUAUUCCUGUACUUGGUGUUACUGCGAAGGGGGGACGGAGAAGGCUAUGUUAGCCGGGCGACGGUUGUCCCGGUUUAAGCAUGUAGGCUGAUUGUCCAGGCAAAUCCGGAUAAUCAAGGCUGAGGUGUGAUGACGAGGCACUACGGUGCUGAAGUAACAAAUGCCCUGCUUCCAGGAAAAGCCUCUAAGCAUCAGGUAACAUUAAAUCGUACCCCAAACCGACACAGGUGGUCAGGUAGAGAAUACCAAGGCGCUUGAGAGAACUCGGGUGAAGGAACUAGGCAAAAUGGUGCCGUAACUUCGGGAGAAGGCACGCUGGUGUGUAGGUGAAGUCCCUGCGGAUGGAGCUGAGACCAGUCGAAGAUACCAGCUGGCUGCAACUGUUUAUUAAAAACACAGCACUGUGCAAACACGAAAGUGGACGUAUACGGUGUGACGCCUGCCCGGUGCCGGAAGGUUAAUUGAUGGGGUUAUCCGUAAGGAGAAGCUCUUGAUCGAAGCCCCGGUAAACGGCGGCCGUAACUAUAACGGUCCUAAGGUAGCGAAAUUCCUUGUCGGGUAAGUUCCGACCUGCACGAAUGGCGUAAUGAUGGCCAGGCUGUCUCCACCCGAGACUCAGUGAAAUUGAACUCGCUGUGAAGAUGCAGUGUACCCGCGGCAAGACGGAAAGACCCCGUGAACCUUUACUAUAGCUUGACACUGAACAUUGAGCCUUGAUGUGUAGGAUAGGUGGGAGGCUUUGAAGCGUGGACGCCAGUCUGCGUGGAGCCAACCUUGAAAUACCACCCUUUAAUGUUUGAUGUUCUAACGUUGGCCCCUGACCGGGGUUGCGGACAGUGUCUGGUGGGUAGUUUGACUGGGGCGGUCUCCUCCCAAAGCGUAACGGAGGAGCACGAAGGUUAGCUAAUCCUGGUCGGACAUCAGGAGGUUAGUGCAAUGGCAUAAGCUAGCUUGACUGCGAGCGUGACGGCGCGAGCAGGUGCGAAAGCAGGUCAUAGUGAUCCGGUGGUUCUGAAUGGAAGGGCCAUCGCUCAACGGAUAAAAGGUACUCCGGGGAUAACAGGCUGAUACCGCCCAAGAGUUCAUAUCGACGGCGGUGUUUGGCACCUCGAUGUCGGCUCAUCACAUCCUGGGGCUGAAGUAGGUCCCAAGGGUAUGGCUGUUCGCCAUUUAAAGUGGUACGCGAGCUGGGUUUAGAACGUCGUGAGACAGUUCGGUCCCUAUCUGCCGUGGGCGCUGGAGAAUUGAGGGGGGCUGCUCCUAGUACGAGAGGACCGGAGUGGACGCAUCACUGGUGUUCGGGUUGUCAUGCCAAUGGCACUGCCCGGUAGCUAAAUGCGGAAGAGAUAAGUGCUGAAAGCAUCUAAGCACGAAACUUGCCCCGAGAUGAGUUCUCCCUGAGACUUUAAGUCUCCUGAAGGAACGUUGAAGACGACGACGUUGAUAGGCCGGGUGUGUAAGCGCAGCGAUGCGUUGAGCUAACCGGUACUAAUGAACCGUGAGGCUUAACCU
rnacentral:rRNA from 1 species